rnacentral:tRNA from 1 species
UGUGACUUAGUUUAUCUAGAACAAUCAACUUGCACUUGAUAAGAGAAUAUUUCAGUGACGG